rnacentral:misc_RNA from 1 species
GAUCCGUCGCCCCGCAACCCGAACCCCCUCGGGGCGUCUCGGUCGCUUGCGGUGCGGAUAAUGGUCUCCCGUGGGCACGUCCCGCGGCUGGCAUAAAUACGAGUCCCGUGUGCACCUAGCCGCGGCCGACGGUGGUUGAGAAGCCUUCGGAAAACAGCCGCGGUCAGGUCGCCCGCUUUGGGACCCCGUGACCCUCGCGCGACUUCUCCCCUUGGGGGGAAGGAGCUCAUU